rnacentral:ncRNA from 1 species
CUGGCUGACACUCAAUGAGUUGUGGUGUGAGACUGAAACCAGGAUCACAUGGCUGUUUUAAGUGAGCUUCUUAACCACAUAGCUAUGCAAAGGUCAUACACAGUUGAACAUUUCGCCCGGCUAGGUUCGGAGUCCCCUCGAUAGGGGCUGCCCAGAGCGGGUGCCAGGCCCAUUCGGAGCCGGCGGCGAUCGGCGGUGUUCUUUUCGGCCCGAGAGUCAGGUUGCUUGGGAACGCAGCCCAAAGCGGGUGGUAAGCUCCAUCCAAGGCUAAAUACGGGGAUGAGUCCGAUAGCCGACAAGUACCGCGAGGGAAAGUUGAAAAGAACUUUGGAGAGGAACCAGAAGAAUCAACUCCAGUACUAGAAUGGAACUUUA